AAUGUUAAGAUUAGCCAUGCAUGUCUCAGUAUAAGCUUCUAUACGGCGAAACUGCGAAUGGCUCAUUAAAACAGUUAUAGUUUAUUUGGUGGUCAGCAAUUACAUGGAUAACCGUGGUAAUUCUAGAGCUAAUACAUGCGCCCAAACCCGACUUCGUGGAAGGGUUGUGUUUAUUAGAUACAGAACCAACCCAGGCUCCGCCUGGCCUUGAGGUGAUUCAUAAUAACCGAACGAAUCGCAUGGCUAUGCCGGCGAUAGACCAUUCAAGUUUCUGACCUAUCAGCUAUCGUCGGUAGGGUAUUGGCCUACCGUGGCAAUGACGGGUAACGGAGAAUUAGGGUUCGAUUCCGGAGAGGGAGCCUGAGAAACGGCUACCACAUCUAAGGAAGGCAGCAGGCGCGCAAAUUACCCAAUCCUGACGCAGGGAGGUAGUGACAAGAAAUAACAAUACAGGGCAUACAUGUCUUGUAAUUGGAAUGAGUAAACUUUAAAUCACUUUA
rnacentral:rRNA from 1 species